UGGUGAUGAUGAUUGAACUAAAGUUUGUUUCUCAAAACAUUUGCAGAUAUUGCCUAAGAGCUUUCGCCCUGCUAGGCUUUAGAGCUAAUGCUGCCAAUUCCUUCCUUGGGUUCCUGUGUAU
rnacentral:snoRNA from 16 species